GAGGGGCGGCCUGAGGGCGAUUAGCCAACCGAAACAUAGUGCUCCCAUGCGUGCCCCUCUCCUCCUCUCCUCUCCCACACCCUCUCCCAAUUCCUCCUCUGCUCCUCUCCGAAUCCCGUGAGUUUCUCGCAAGCAGAUGGCCGCAAAAUCAAGCGCCGACGACCAUUGGAGUAAACACGCUCACAUCUGUAGCAGAGUCGAGGGGAUUGAUGUUUGCUGCAGCUGUGAACCACCGCAUCUGGAGCAGAGCCAGGAUGCUGGCUACCGCCACUGGUUUGAACCAUGCAAAAUCCUGCCACUGGGGACAUCUCAAUUCCUUAUGGAGUGGCUGUCUGGUCCGCUGGUAUUGGAACUCGGCCAUUCAUUGUAGAAUUCAUGAAACAAAUUGGCCAGGAGGAUAUUUCAGAAAUAUUCAGAGCCACAGAUAAAGAUAAGUCUGGAACCUUGACUGGAAGAAAUUCAAGAUGUCUUGGAUGAAAUUUAUGUGAGAUAUCCGCAAGUACAGCUCUACCUUAAGAGCAAGCAAAUGAACGGUAUUGCUGAUUUAGUAAGGAGUGCCAAAGUUGAUGCUGAAAAGGAAUCUGUGGAGCUGAAUAUUGAAGAAUUCAAGAAGGCUCUUUCACUUUUGGAUUCACAAGUCAAAUUUCUACCUGCAACUGCUCAGGUCGCUUCGCAGCAAGGCCAUUAUCUUGCUAGGUGUUUCAAUAAGUUGAAGGAUGCUGAAAAACAUCCUGAAGGUCCAAUCCGCAUUAGGGGAGAAGGCCGUCAUCACUUCCGCCCCUUCAGGUUCCUAUUCUUUCCUCGUUCAUUUGCUUGUUGUGUUCCUAGUUGGCUUAUUCCAGUUUUUGAUCUUCAUUAUGAUCAGAAUGUAGUGUAGCAUGUUUUGCCGCAACAUAGCUUCUGAUUACACCAUGUAGCAUAUUUAGUUGAAUUUGGUUUAUGCUAUCAAGGAGGCAGUUAAAAAGCAAUUGACAAGUUUACCUUUUGUUAUCAGCAUCUGAUAUUAUUACUUUUUUCUGAUCCUCCAGGUAGAGGCAUCUUGGACAAUUCGCCGCACUAGGAGGGGAGCAAACUGCUGCACAGCUUUCCGGAGACUGGAUCUCCGUUGGCCACAGCACACAGUGGCUCUGGUACUCCGUGUAUGCGAUGAAACAAAUAAGUUGGCGCAUGAGGGUGCUGGUGGUAUCUGACUAGAAGCGUCGCUUCAUCUUUGAAAGAGAAUCGAGUUGCAUACAGUCAAGAAGGAAAGAUUUUGUUGUGACAUAUUCAGAUGUUUAAGGCCACUUGAGUUUGGUUAUAUGAAUUCUUUUUUGUUAAGGGAAAGAGUUCCCUCGCAGUUGUCACCACGAAGAAAUUCCUUUGUAUUCUUUUGGAGAGUUGUAUACUUUUGCGGCCUGACCAAACUCAGAUUCUUCAGUAGCUUCUAUACCACUAAGAUGAUCAAAAGGGGCCUGUUUUGGACC